GGAUCCGUAGCUCAGUUGGUUAGAGCGUUGCAUUGACAUUGCAAAGGUCACUGGUUCGAGUCCAGUCGGAUCCA
rnacentral:tRNA from 1 species